rnacentral:rRNA from 1 species
GAGUUUGAUCCUGGCUCAGGACGAACGCUGGCGGCGUGCUAAACACAUGCAAGUGGAGCGACGAACCGGGCUUCGGCCCGGGGCAAAGCCGCGAACGGGUGAGUAACACGUGGGUAACCCACCCCGAUGAUUGGGACAACCCCGGGAAACCGGGGCUAAUACCAAACGUGCUCGCUGCUCACGAGAGCAACGAGUAAAGAUAGCUUCGGCCUUCGCAUCGGGACGGGCCCGCGGCUCAUUAGCUUGUUGGUGAGGUAACGGCUCACCAAGGCCGCGAUGGGUAGCUGGUCUGAGAGGACGAUCAGCCACACUGGGACUGAGACACGGCCCAGACUCCUACGGGAGGCAGCAGUGGGGAAUCUUGCGCAAUGCGCGAAAGCGUGACGCAGCAACGCCGCGUGGGGGAAGAAGGCCUUCGGGUUGUAAACGCCUUUCAGUUGGGACGAAGCCCCGGCGGUGAAUAGCCGUUCGGGGUGACGGUACCUUCACAAGAAGCCCCGGCUAACUACGUGCCAGCAGCCGCGGUAAUACGUAGGGGGCUAGCGUUGUCCGGAAUCAUUGGGCGUAAAGAGCGUGUAGGCGGCCCGGUAAGUCCGCUGUGAAAGUCGGGGGCUCAACCCUCGAAAGCCGGUGGGUACUGUCGGGCUAGAGUGCGGAAGAGGCGAGUGGAAUUCCUGGUGUAGCGGUGAAAUGCGCAGAUAUCAGAGGAACACCGAUUGCGAAGCAGCUCGCUGGGACGUAACUGACGCUGAGACGCGAAAGCGUGGGGAGCAACAGGAUUAGAUACCCUGGUAGUCCACGCUGUAAACGAUGGGCACUAGUGUGGGGGGUGUCGACUCCCUCGUGCCGAAGCUAACGCAUUAAGUGCCCCGCUGGGGAGUACGGCGCAGGGCUAAACUCAAAGGAAUUGACGGGGACUCAUGCGAGACUGCCGGUGACAAACCGGAGGAAGGUGGGGAUGACGUCAAGUCAUCAUGCCCCUUAUGUCCAGGGCUACACACGUGCUACAUUGGCGCGUACAGAGGGCUGCGAUACCGCGAGGUGGAGCGAAUCCCUCAAAGCGCGUCUCGGUUCGGAUUGCAGGCCGAAACCCGCCUGCAUGAAGGCGGAGUUGCUAGUAAUCGCGGAUCAGCAUUGCCGCGGUGAAUACGUUCCCGGGCCUUGUACACACCGCCCGUCACACCACGGAAGCAAGCAACACCCGAAGCCGGUGGCCUAACCCUUUGGGAGGGAGCCGUCGAAGGUGGGGCUCGUGACUGGGGUGAAGUCGUAACAAGGUAGCCGUACCGGAAGGUGCGGCUGGAUCACCUCCUU